rnacentral:lncRNA from 1 species
UCAAGUGUUAUGUAUCCUUAAAUCAUCUUUGAAAUUGAUGUUAUGAUAUAUACUCUCAAGUGUUGAGAAUUAAAAGAAUAUAUAAUUAAUUUUAAAAUUACUCCUAAUCAUAGGAUAGUCAUAGAGAUGGUGAUCUAUCCAGACAGAUCGGUGCACGGUUUACUUCCUUCGAGAUAGAUGAGUCCUUAGUCUACAGUGUAGAAACACUGAGCGGUAAGUACGGAUAGUUAUUAGAAAAUAACUAGUACUGAGCGUGACCAUACGAGAGAUCAUAUAAAUUUUUAUCCAAUCGUCAGUGAUCAUCUCGAUGU